rnacentral:lncRNA from 1 species
GGCCGGGGGCCCUCUAAGGCCCCGCGCUUCCGACCUCCGCGCAAACUCUGGUUCUUCUUGCACGACGGAGGUGGUUUGCUCUUCCGUUGCCCCGUGGCUUCGGCUCAUCUCCAAAAAGAAGGCGAGGCUUCCGCCCGGCACAGGGGGUGAGCUGGAGCACCUUUUCCCCAAGCCCCUUCCUUGGACAGCACUUGGAGGAGGGCGCUCCCCAAUCCCAACUUUGGGGAUCCCUUAAUGGGUAUAUCUGGUGGCUACGGGCCCGGGGUGGCAUUUAUGGGAUGUCUGCUUUUGAGAAGACCCUUAGUAGGCGGCCUUUGGGGGACCCUGGGGUGGGAUUUGGGAGUCUGUUUCGAGGAGUACCCCUCGGAGGCAGGACUUAGGGGGAAGCUAGGGGAGACUUAGGGUCUGUAUAUGUGUACUCGUCCGGCAGGAUUUGGGGUGUUUCCCUUGAGAGAGAGGAGAAGUUGGAGAUUACUAACGUCUAGGCGAGGUUUGAGGAGGGCUUGUUUCAGGACAGGACCCGGUGACAGUGGGAACGUUCGGGACCGACGUGGCAUUAUGGAGGUAUCUGUGGUCUUUGUGACCUCGGGUUCUAUGAUGAAGUCUCCGCGCCUGAUGAGGUUACUCGGGACUGCGAGACUGGACACG